CAGCUGCCAUGAGGCAAACAGACUUCUGCCACAUGCUCCCAACCAUGAUGUUUGCAUUACCAGAAACUUCAAAGAAGUUUGGCCAAGUGACCAUGGACUGAAGCCUCAGAAAUGUUGAUUGCAGGUCUUGGCUACUGUGAAUGUUUGAGGUGGUGGAUAUACCUGAUUUGAUCACUGGACAUUGUAUACAGGUGUCCAAGCUGGCUCAAACUCUAGAUGCUUCUGCCUCCUGGGAUUACAGGUAUGCACCAUGUCUGGCUCACCGUGUGCACUUCUGCUGGAAUGAAAACAGCUUCUUUCUAGACCUCCGAAGUCCGAGGUGCCACCUUUACAGUGACCCUCCCUCAGCCCCCCACCUGCCUUGGCAUGUCUGCACGGCCUGGUUCUGCUCUGAGACCUGCUCAGUAACAGUAGCAACAGCCUCGUGAGACACAUCUAGAGAGCCUUGUGGUAACACAGUGGUGUCCCACGCCCAGGACAGGAACAGUACUCCUCUGCCCCCAGCCCUGGGGACAGGUGGGGCCCCAGCACAGGUGUGCGAACAGCUCAGGCAGGGUUGGCCGUAGAACAGAGCCAAAUGACAAAGAGCCCAGGCCCCAUUGUCCCUAAACAAAUGCUAUACUUCCUCUGGCAAAGGUGGGUCUUUUGGGGAGAUAAAAAUGGUCCUGCACCAGCAAAGGUUUUUUUUUUUUUUUA